CAGGGAUUUAAAAGGAAGGAAUUUAGCUGAUGAGGAAGAAGAGGACAGCAGGUGAGAGGUUCCCACACACAUAAAAUGAACAAACCGUCACCUAAAUUCGUUUAUUCCCAGGGGAAUUCCUUCUGUGGGUAGGAAACCGCUUGAAAUUGUAGAUGUAGCUCAACAACGAGCGCGUUAAAUCACUCUAUAGGAAAUACCUGGCAAUUUAGGAAAAUUAACCUUUGACCCGGUUGCACUGACGCACACAACACGUCCCCUCGCGCGACUGCUGUCGGGCACAUGUGGGCUCCACAGGGAAAUCAAGGCCGUGAGAAGGAAGUCUCCGAAUCAGGAAUAAAAGCGAGUAGUUAAGUCCCAAGGAGUAUAAUGGUAGGAAGCAGGGCUUGGCUGGCGGAUUGGGAAGCAGGAUGGAUGGAACUACUGCGGCAAAUAUUGGACUGAAGGAGCAUUGUGGGUGGUUGGCAGGGUGCGAUUGUCCCGGUGAUAUCAUCAUCAUCAUCAUCACUCUACAGUCAUAUGAAGUCUUAUACAAGGCUGUAAAAGGACAGCUUUGCCUGGUAAUACGAGAUACUCCGUGAGAACGAGAGAGGAUUGGCCUGCCUAGAGAUGACACUAGCUGUGGGCGGAGUCUUGCCCUAACUCUUGUCCCAUUGGUAAAGGUCU